rnacentral:rRNA from 1 species
ACUAAAAAACUAGCUCUAUUAUUUUAUAUAAAAUUUACACUAUAAAUAAUUUUAUAAAAACACAACUAAAAAACUAAACCAUUUGACCACCCCAGUAUAGGCGACAGAAAAGGAAAAAUGAAGCAAUAGCCAUAGUACCGCAAGGGAAAGCUGAAAAAGAAAUGAAACAAUUCAAUCAAGUCAAGAAAAGCAGAGAACUCACCUC